UUUCAGGUAGUUGGGAGCCAGGGAAGGAGUGACACUAUCCCUAGAUGUAGUGAUAUGGUUUUCCUGGGAGGGCUUGACUUAAUCAGGUGAGCCCUUUAAAUGGAUUGGGAUCCUCGUGGAGGUCAGAUGUGUUCUCCUGCUGACCUUGAAAAUGUAAUCUGCAAUGUGAACGUGUUGAUGGAGGGGGCCAAAUGCCAAGGACCUGAGGGGGCACCGUGGGAGCUGAGAGUAGUCCCCAGCUAAUAACUAGUAAGAAAAUGAAACCUCAACACUUAGGCACAAGAAACUGAAUUAUGCUAACAACUAUUUGAGCUUUAAAGAGGAUCCUGAGCACCAGAAAGUAAUGUCGCAUAGCAACCACGUUGAUUACAUCCUUGCAAGACCUCGUGAGGAUGACUCAAUUAAUUCAUGCCCAGAUUCAUGCCCAUUGAAACUGUGAUAAUACAUGUAUGUUGUUUUACCUUA
rnacentral:lncRNA from 1 species